rnacentral:rRNA from 1 species
CACGUAGGGGACGAGCGUUGUCCGGAAUCAUUGGGCGUAAAGCGCGUGUAGGCGGCUUGGCAAGUCGGUUGUGAAAGCCCGGGGCCCAACCCCGGAACUGCAUCUGAAACUGCCUGGCUAGAGUCCCGGAGAGGAAGGCAGAAUUCCCGGUGUAGGGGUGAAAUCCGUAGAUAUCGGGAGGAAUACCAGCGGCGAAGGCGGCCUUCUGGACGGUGACUGACGCUGAGACGCGAAAGCGUGGGGAGCAAACAGG